rnacentral:rRNA from 1 species
UAGGGAAUCUUCCGCAAUGGACGCAAGUCUGACGGAGCAACGCCGCGUGAGUGAAGAAGGAUUUCGGUUCGUAAAGCUCUGUUGUUAAGGAAGAACGAGUGUGAGAAUGGAAAGUUCAUGCUGUGACGGUACUUAACCAGAAAGGGACGGCUAACUACGUGCCAGCAGCCGCGGUAAUACGUAGGUCCCGAGCGUUGUCCGGAUUUAUUGGGCGUAAAGCGAGCGCAGGCGGUUAGAUAAGUCUGAAGUUAAAGGCAGUGGCUCAACCAUUGUAGGCUUUGGAAACUGUUUAACUUGAGUGCAGAAGGGGAGAGUGGAAUUCCAUGUGUAGCGGUGAAAUGCGUAGAUAUAUGGAGGAACACCAGUGGCGAACGCGACUCUCUGGUCUGUAACUGACGCUGAGGUUCGAAAGCGUGGGUAGCAAACAGG